CCUACGGGGGGCAGCAGUGGGGAAUCUUGCGCAAUGGGCGAAAGCCUGACGCAGCAACGCCGCGUGAGGGAUGAAGGCCCUCGGGUUGUAAACCUCUUUCGAGCAGGGACGAUAAUGACGGUACCUGCAGAAGAAGCUCCGGCCAACUACGUGCCAGCAGCCGCGGUAAUACGUAGGGAGCGAGCGUUGUCCGGAUUCAUUGGGCGUAAAGAGCUCGUAGGCGGCUUGAUAAGUCGGAUGUGAAACCUCCAGGCUCAACCUGGAGUCGCCAUCCGAUACUGUCAUGGCUAGAGUCCGGUAGGGGCCCACGGAACUCCUGGUGUAGCGGUGAAAUGCGCAGAUAUCAGGAAGAACACCGGUGGCGAAGGCGGUGGGCUGGGCCGGCACUGACGCUGAGGAGCGAAAGCGUGGGGAGCGAACAGGAUUAGAUACCCUAGUAG
rnacentral:rRNA from 1 species